UGACUUUUGUUCCUCUUCAUAACGCACAAGUCUUUCACCUUUUACUAAAGACUUCCGUGGAGAGGAACACCACGUGUUCAGUAUAAGAUACAAGUGGACUCAUUUCAUUUCAUUUCAU